AUAGAAAGUGCCUCAAACAUAAAA
rnacentral:snRNA from 1 species